GAUGAACGCUGGCGGCGUGCUUAACACAUGCAAGUCGAACGAAGCACUUAAAUGAGAUUUCUUCGGAUUGAUUAUUUUGUGACUGAGUGGCGGACGGGUGAGUAACGCGUGGGUAACCUGCCCCAGACCGGGGGAUAACAGUCGGAAACGACUGCUAAUACCGCAUAAGCGCACAGUGCCGCAUGGCACAGUGUGAAAAACUCCGGUGGUCUGGGGAUGGGACCCCGCGUCCGAUUAGUUAGUUGGCGGGGUAACGGCCCACCAAGACCGCGAUCGGUAGCCGACCUGAGAGGACGACCAGCCACACUGGGACUGAGACACGGCCCAGACUCCUACGGGAGGCAGCAGUGGGGGAAUUUUGGGACAAUGGGGGGCAACCCUGAUCCAGCCCAUGCCGCGUGCAGGGAUGAAGGCCUCGGGUUGUAAACUGCUUUGUCAGGGACGAAAAGGACCGUGUUAAUACCAUGGUCUGCUGACGGUACCUGAAGAAUAAGCACCGGCUAACUACGUGCCA
rnacentral:rRNA from 1 species